rnacentral:rRNA from 1 species
AUUUUUUUGUUAAUUUAUUUUAAAUAAGGCCUGCCCAAUGACUCUUGUUAAAUGGCUGCAGUAUUUUGACUGUACAAAGGUAGCAUAAUAAUUUGUUUAAUAAUUUUAGACUUGAAUGAAAGGCUUUUUUAGAUUUAAUCUUUCUUUAUAUUAUUUAUAAGAAUUUAUUAUAUCAGUAAAAAUACUGAUAUAAUUUUAUAGGACGAAAAGACCCUAUAGAAUUUAAUAUUUCUAUAACUUAUAAGUUAUAGAAAUAUUAUGUUGGGGGGAUAAUAAUUAAUAUAAACAAUUUUUAUUUAUUUCAUUAAUUUAUGAUUUUUUGAUCCAAUUAUUUUGAUUAUAAGAUAAAAUUACCUUAGGGAUAACAGCGUAAUUUAUUUGGAGAGUUCUUAUUGAAAAAUUUAAGUUUGCGA